GAUGAACGCUAGCGGCAGGCUUAACACAUGCAAGUCGAGGGGUAGAGGAAGCUUGCUUCCUUGAGACCGGCGCACGGGUGCGUAACGCGUAUACAAUCUACCUUUUACAGAGGGAUAGCCCCAGAGAAAUUUGGAUUAAUACCUCAUAGUAUUUUCGGAUCGCAUGAUUUGAUUAUUAAAGUUCCAACGGUAAAGAUGAGUAUGCGUCCCAUUAGCUAGAUGGUAAGGUAACGGCUUACCAUGGCAAUGAUGGGUAGGGGUCCUGAGAGGGAGAUCCCCCACACUGGUACUGAGACACGGACCAGACUCCGUACGGGAGG
rnacentral:rRNA from 1 species